rnacentral:rRNA from 1 species
UACGUAGGUGGCAAGCGUUGUCCGGAUUUAUUGGGCGUAAAGCGAGCGCAGGCGGUUUCUUAAGUCUGAUGUGAAAGCCCCCGGCUCAACCGGGGAAGGUCAUUGGAAACUGGGAAACUUGAGUACAGAAGAGGAAUGUGGAACUCCAUGUGUAGCGGUGGAAUGCGUAGAUAUAUGGAAGAACACCAGUGGCGAAGGCGACUUUCUGGUCUGUAACUGACGCUGAUGUGCGAAAGCGUGGGGAUCAAACAGG